GACGAACCGUGCGAACGUUGUUCGGAAUCACUGGGCUUAAAGGGAGCGUAGGCGGGCUAACAAGUCUGGGGUGAAAUGCCGCGGCUCGACCGUGGAACUGCCUCAGAUACUGUCGGCCUCGAGGGAGAUAGGGGCAUGCGGAACUGUAGGUGGAGCGGUGAAAUGCGUUGAUAUCUACAGGAACUCCGGUGGCGAAAGCGGCGUGCUGGAUCUCUUCUGACGCUGAGGCUCGAAAGCUAGGGGAGCAAACGGG
rnacentral:rRNA from 1 species